AUCGUCCUCUCCCAGGAAACAACGGGCCGUUUAUCGCCCGCCCCCAGAGGAAGCGGCCCGCUGAGGGGCAGCCUGCUGUGGAGGCGCUGGAGGCACCUUCCCUGACAUGGUAUCGCCUCCUCUCAGGCUGCCUGCAGCGCGUUCAAGGCUCCUUCUCAGGAAACAAAUCACUGACUCGAUUUGAACCAAAAACCUGGUAAAAAGAGGGAAAAAACAAAAUGGGAAGAAGAUCAAUGUGAUCAAAAUGUCCGUCAAACAGCCUUUUGUGUCCUGCAAAGAGUUUCUCUUUUUUGUUUUUUUUUGUCCAAGGAUUUGCAAGAAGUGACGUUUUUUUUGUUUCGAUAGGUGAAAAAUAAGGAAGGGGAACAAUCAGGCGAAGAAUGCAGUGACACCAGAAAAUGCUUUGGACAUUGAUUUUUGCUUUUGUGCACUGAAAGCAAGAGCUUAUUGUGGGGAAGUAGAGAGGGAGCGAGAGAGAGAGAGAGAGAGAGAGAGAGAGAGAGGUUAUGUCCUGAUUGGCAACUUAUUCAAUACAAUAACUGGUAUUUUUGCGUUGCCUUGAUUGAGAGGAUGAGAAGUGCUGGGUCGCCCUCCAAACACGUAGCCUUCGCAUACUUCACCUUAUUACGACGGUGAGUCAUGUAUUUCAGGGCAUGUUGUGAUAUUGGCUCACAUUCUUUCUUACCCUGCAUUCAACACUUGGAUUACUCCUCUGCCUUAAGCCAAGACUUGUGAUAUUAAAAAGGGCGGGAUUAGUUUCAGUGGACCACACGGGCGUUUCAUUAAGCUCCGAACGUCUUCCCGUUUUCCCAGGAAGGAACAUUUUGGCUGUUCUUUAAUCUGUGGGUGGUGCUGCACCAUAAAACGGGCUCAAGCAGAGCUCAUGGUCUUGGAUAACAGCCUCGCCGUGAGGAGCAGCGUUCACGCCUGUCGUCCCAGGCCGUCGGCUCCAGCAUGUUUGUACAGUAGCAACGCUGCACUGCUGUGGAGGUCUUCACCUCUCUGCGAGUCUAAACCUUCACUGGACCCACUCCUGUGUAUUAACGAUACUGUAAGUCUUGGGCUGGUUCUGGUUCUGUUGCAUGCAGGUGGGGGCUAUUUUCUUCAUUUAUUUCUCAGCCAACAUGAACUUGAGCUACUGUGCCUCCCGUUAGCAGGCCAGAGGUGUCGCUCCUUCCUCGCGGUCCUCUGUUAG
rnacentral:lncRNA from 1 species